UACAGAGGGUGCGAGCGUUGUCCGGAAUCACUGGGCGUAAAGGGCGCGUAGGUGGUGGCUUAAGCGUGCGGUGAAAGCUCGGAGCUCAACUCCGAGUCGGCCGUGCGAACUGGGCUCACUGGAGCAUAGUAGAGGCAGGUGGAAUUCCGGGUGUAGCGGUGGAAUGCGUAGAGAUCCGGAGGAAGACCGGUGGCGAAGGCGGCCUGCCUGGGCAGUUUCGUGACACUGAGGCGCGACGAGCGUGGGGAGCAAACAGG
rnacentral:rRNA from 1 species